UGAAAGUCAGUCCACGCAGACCCGAAACCGGGUGAUCUAUCCAUGUCCAGGAUGAAGUUGCCGUAAAAGGCAGUGGAGGUCCGAACGCACAUCCGUUGAAAAGGGUGGCGAUGAGGUGUGGAUAGGGGAGAAAUUCCAAUCGAACCCGGAGAUAGCUGGUUCUCCUCGAAAUAGCUUUAGGGCUAGCCUCAUGAGAGUCAUAUGGAGGUAGAGCACUGAAUACCCAAGGGGGCGUCAAAGCUUACCAAAGGUUAUCAAACUCCGAAUGCCAUGAUGAUGCUUCAUGGGAGUCAGACUGCACGAGAUAAGUUGGGUAGUCAAAAGGGAAAGAGCCCAGACCUACAGCUAAGGUCCCAAAGUGUGUGUUAAGUGGAAAAGGAUGUGGGAUUUCAAAGACAGCUAGGAUGUUGGCUCAGAAGCAGCCACACAUUCAAAGAGUGCGUAAUAGCUCACUAGUCGAGAGGUCCCGCGCCGAAAAUGUCCGGGGCUGAAACACACCACCGAAGCUUAGGAAAGACAUGCCGCAAGGUAUGUCUUUGGUAGAGGAGCAUUGUGAUGCCAUUGAAGCUGUACCGACAAGGAGCAGUGGAGGAAUCACAAGAGAGAAUGCCGGAAUGAGUAGCGAGAAAGAGGUGAGAAUCCUCUUGGCCGAAUAUCCAAGGUUUCCAGAGUAAAGCUGAUCUGCUCUGGGUAAGUCGGGAUCUAAGGCGAGGUCGAAAGACGUAGUCGAUGGACAGCAGGUGGAAAUUCCUGCACUAUGGUAUGACAGAACUGUGGGGACGUAUGUGGAAAGCAUGAGCCGGGAAAGGAAAAACCGGUGCAAGCGAAGUAGGGGUGUGAAAGGCAAAUCCGUCACACAACCCAAAGGCGUGAUGCGAAGCGAACUAUAGUAGCGAAGCAUGUGAGCUAUGUACCGAGAAAAGCCGCUAUCGUUCAUACCAUACCCGUACCGUAAACCGACACAGGUGGAUGGGGAGAGAAUCCCAAGGCCGGCGGGAGAAGCAUUGUCAAGGAACUCGGCAAAAUGGCCCCGUAACUUAGGGAAAAGGGGUGCCAUCGAAGGAUGGCCGCAGAGAAUAGGCUCAAGCAACUGUUUAGCAAAAACACAGGUCUAUGCGAAACCGAAAGGUGAGGUAUAUGGGCUGACGCCUGCCCGGUGCUGGAAGGUUAAGAGGAGAGGUCAGGAAACGAAGCCUUGAAUUGAAGCCCCAGUAAACGGCGGCCGUAACUAUAACGGUCCUAAGGUAGCGAAAUUCCUUGUCGGGUAAGUUCCGACCCGCACGAAAGGCGUAAUGAUUUGAGCGCUGUCUCGACAAUGCACCCGGUGAAAUUGAACUGCCAGUGAAGAUGCUGGCUACCUGCGCCAGGACGGAAAGACCCCAUGGAGCUUUACUCCAGUUUGAUACUGGGAUCCGGUGCUGUAUGUACAGGAUAGGUGGGAGGCUAAGAGCCACAGACGCCAGUCUGUGAGGAGCCGCUGUUGGGAUACCACCCUUACAGUACUGGGUUUCUAACCUGCGCCCGUAAGCCGGGCGGGGGACAAUGUCUGACGGGGAGUUUGACUGGGGCGGUCGCCUCCGAAAGGGUAUCGGAGGCGCUCAAAGGUUCCCUCAGAAUGGACGGAAACCAUUCGCAGAGCGCAAAGGCAGAAGGGAGCCUGACUGUGACACCGACGGGUGGAGCAGGUACGAAAGUAGGACUUAGUGAUCCGGUGGCAUAAAGUGGGAUUGCCAUCGCUCAACGGAUAAAAGCUACCCUGGGGAUAACAGGCUGAUCACUCCCAAGAGUUCACAUCGACGGAGUGGUUUGGCACCUCGAUGUCGGCUCAUCGCAUCCUGGGGCUGUAGCAGGUCCCAAGGGUUGGGCUGUUCGCCCAUUAAAGCGGUACGCGAGCUGGGUUCAGAACGUCGUGAGACAGUUCGGUCCCUAUCCGGCGUGGGCGCAGGAUAUCUGAGAGGAGCUGUCCUUAGUACGAGAGGACCGGGAUGGACGGACCGCUGGUGUACCUGUUGGCGACCAACGCCAUGGCAGGGUAGCCAAGUCCGGCAGGGAUAAACGCUGAAGGCAUCUAAGCGUGAAGCCCCCCUCAAGAUGAGAUAUCCCCCACAAAAGUGGAUAAGACCCCUUGAAGACGACAAGGUAGAUAGGGUAUAGGUGUAAGUGCAGCAAUGCAUUGAGCUGAAUACUACUAAUCGGUCGAAGGCUUAUCCUG
rfam:Lachnospiraceae bacterium A4 genomic scaffold acPFC-supercont1.23, whole genome shotgun sequence.